GGUUGCUCUCAGUUUCAUUAAUUCCUUCUCCAAACACCCCGAGACACCCCAGCACAGAAGGUCGCAGCACACCGGCAUGAGGUCACACCUGUGUGCAGGGACUUACCUGUGCAGUGGGGGUGGCCAGCCCCUCUCCCCCGGGCCAAGGGAGGCCUCCCAGGGGAAGGCACCCUUGGGGUCAGCUGCCUGGACUAGGGAGACAGGCAUGGCUUCCCGGUCCUGACAACCACGUGUGUCAAGGCUGGAAUAAGGGAGGGCCAGGGGCACAGAAGCGUCAGGGUCUUGGGUGGGCUGCGGGCAGUGGGGAAGCAUGGAGGCUGCCGCAGGGCAAGGUGGUAGCCCAGCCGUUUGGAGCAGGGACAGAGGUACCAGACACCCCGCCCUGGGGGUCACGGUCAGGGCCUGGGGCCAAAGGAUGGAUGAACCAGGGAGAAGAGGCAGGUGAGCUGGGCAAGGGGCUGAGCUGCCGCCAGGUGUUCUUGCCAAGCAUUCCCACGGAAGCUGCUGGGCACAGGAGAAUGAGCAGCAAGAAGGCAGAUCCCAAAGCUGCAUCAGAGAAGUGGCUGACAUCCCUCCCCGGAGCUAAGCCGGGUGCCGCUGCUGGGGAGUCUGACCCCCGCUCCAGCACGGACUUGGGACGCCCUCUCUGCAGCUGCCAGGGAUGCGCUCAGGAGACCCUUCCCUCUGAGAGUGGCUUUCAGGAGAUCUCUGAGCUGGGCUCGGGUACGGUAGACGGAGGAUUCGGAGCGCAGAAGUCCAUUCCAGACCCUGGCCCUGAGACUCGUGCCCCUGCCCUGGGCUGGGGUGAGGGACACGGCACGAGAACACAUGGAGAUGGGACGCAGGCCCGUGGGGACAGCGGACAGGUUCUGAGACAGAGCUCGGUUAGAAUUCACGUUGGGGAUUCUCAGGCUAAGCGUGUGGUCCACUCUGACUCUCUGUUCCACCUGAGCCAUCCCCUUGCUUUUCCUGCCUGCGGCUGCUGUCUCAAACCACCCUCUCCGUAG
rnacentral:lncRNA from 1 species